rnacentral:rRNA from 1 species
GACGAACGCUGGCGGCGUGCUUAACACAUGCAAGUCGAACGGAAAGGCCUGCUUUCCCUUGUGGAUUGCGGGUACUCGCGUGGCGAACGGGUGAGUAACACGUGAGUGAUCUGCCCCCAACUUGGGUAUAAGCCUGGGAAACUGGGUCUAAUUCCCGAUAGGACUGCAGGGUGGUGCCUGUGGUGGAAAACGAUUUUCUAGUGGUUGGGGAUGAGCUCGCGGCCUAUCAGCUUGUUGGUGGGGUAAUGGCCUACCAAGGCGGCGACGGGUAGCCGGCCUGAGAGGGUGGACGGCCACAUUGGGACUGAGAGACGGCCCAGACUCCUACGGGAGGCAGCAGUGGGGAAUAUUGCACAAUGGGCGGAAGCCUGAUGCAGCGACGCCGCGUGGGGGAUGACGGCCUUCGGGUUGUAAACUCCUUUCGACCGCGAGGAAGCCACCUGGUUGGAAGGGUGGUGACGGUAGUGGUAGAAGAAGCACCGGCUAACUACGUG